rnacentral:rRNA from 1 species
CAGCAGCCACGGGAAUACGUAGGUGGCGAGCGUUGUCCGGAAUUAUUGGGCGUAAAGGGAGCGCAGGCGGGCGAGUAAGUCUUUCUUAAAAGUGCGGGGCUCAACCCCGUGAGGGGAGAGAAACUACUCAUCUUGAGUGCAGGAGAGGAAAGCGGAAUUCCUAGUGUAGCGGUGAAAUGCGUAGAUAUUCGCAAGAACACCAGUGGCGAAGGCGGCUCACUGGCCCGAUACUGACGCUGAGGCACGAAAGCGUGGGGAGCAAACAGGAUUAGAUACCCGAGUAGUCCCUGUCUCUUAUACC